rnacentral:tRNA from 1 species
CAACGUGUAGCUUAAUUAAAGCAUCUCGCUUACACCGAUAAAAUAUCUGUGAAACCCAGAUCACUUUGA